UACACAGCUCGCUGCCUCUCCAACAGCCCCAUCAGCUCCCGGUGCCGGCUCCGGGCUGCCUGCAGGCGCCACUGCUCCGCUGCCAGUCCCUCCGCCAGCGGCCAGAGCAUGGCACCGCGCGCCGUCUCCCCCGCGCUGUCUGGGGGCACGGGGGUCAGAGCCGACACCCCCUCACCCCCCUGCCAGUCCCUGCGCCAGGGCCAGAGCAUGGCACCGCGCGCCGUCUCCCCCGCGCUGUCUGGGGGCACGGGGGUCAGAGCCGACACCCCCUCACCCCCCUGCCAGUCCCUGCACCAGCGGCCAGAGCAUGGCACAGCGCCGUCUCCCCCGCGCUGUCUGGGGGCACAGGGGUCAGAGCCGACACCCCCUCAGCCCCCUGCCAGUCCCUGCG